UACGUAGGGUGCAAGCGUUAUCCGGAAUUAUUGGGCGUAAAGAGCUCGUAGGCGGUUUGUCGCGUCUGCUGUGAAAACCCGAGGCUCAACCUCGGGCCUGCAGUGGGUACGGGCAGACUAGAGUGCGGUAGGGGGAGAUUGGAAUUCCUGGUGUAGCGGUGGAAUGCGCAGAUAUCAGGAGGAACACCGAUGGCGAAGGCAGAUCUCUGGGCCGUAACUGACGCUGAGGAGCGAAAAGCGUGGGGAGCGAACAGG
rnacentral:rRNA from 1 species